rnacentral:rRNA from 1 species
UACGUAGGGCGCAAGCGUUGUCCGGAAUUAUUGGGCGUAAAGAGCUCGUAGGCGGCUUGUUGCGUCGACUGUGAAAACCUGCGGCUCAACCGUGUGGUCUGCAGUCGAUACGGGCAGGCUGGAGUUCGGUAGGGGAGACUGGAAUUCCUGGUGUAGCGGUGAAUGCGCAGAUAUCAGGAGGAACACCCGAUGGCGAAGGCGGGGUCUCUGGGCCGAUACUGACGCUGAGGAGCGAAAGCGUGGGGAGCGAACAGG